GGGGCUGUAGCUCAGUGGCAGAGCGCUUGCCUAGCAUGCGUGAGGCACUGGGUUGGAUCCUCAGCACCA
rnacentral:tRNA from 1 species